UAUAUCAUUUUUAAGCAUAAAAAGGCCUAUAAUGAAAAUGAAGAACACAAUUUCAUUCACCGAAUGACAUAACAUAAUACGUUUGGUUCAAUAUUAAUUUGCGAAAGAAGUUACGGCUGUUUUCAAAUAAUUAGAAAAUCCAAAACGCAAUCUCGAAUAUCUACUCGUCUCGUUCGAAUAAAUUAAAUAUCGAUACUCCAUUAUAUUAUUAUCCUAGAUGCAUAUAAGCAGGUUGACUUUGACUUCUAUAAUGAACACAAAUUCCAAAGUCAUUUAAUUGUGCUGUUAAAUUUGCAUGGUUUUAGGAAUGCAAUUAAAAUUACCUACUCUUAAAAAUACUUCGUUAAAUAGGGGUU